rnacentral:rRNA from 1 species
GACGAACGCUGGCGGCGUGCCUAACACAUGCAAGUCGAACGGGGUCGAUCCAGUGGCAACGCUGGUGAAGACCUAGUGGCGAACGGGUGAGUAACACGUGAGAAACCUGCCCCGGUCUCUGGAAUAACAGGUGGAAACACUUGCUAAUGCCGGAUACCUUCACCGGUCCGCAUGGUCUGGUGAAGAAAGGGUUACUGGAUCGGGAGGGUCUCGCGGUCUAUCAGCUUGUUGGUGGGGUAAAGGCCUACCAAGGCUCCGACGGAUAGCUGGUCUGAGAGGACGAUCAGCCACACUGGGACUGAGACACGGCCCAGACUCCUACGGGAGGCAGCAGUGGGGAAUCUUGCGCAAUGGGCGAAAGCCUGACGCAGCAACGCCGCGUGGGGGAUGAAGGCCCUCGGGUUGUAAACCCCUUUCAGCAGGAACGAAUCUGACGGUACCUGCAGAAGAAGGUCCGGCUAACUACGUGCCAGCCGCCGCAGUAACAC